rnacentral:tmRNA from 1 species
GGGGGUGAAAAGGGCUCGACUUAAGCGAGCCGGGUAAAAGUAGCAUGCCGCGGACGCAUGGUUAGCCGCGUUAUCAACCCGUGCAAAAUAUAAACGCAAGAGAGAACAGUAUCCGCUCACUCAUAGCAGACAGAUAUAGCGCCGUAAGGCCUAUGCCUGCUAUGGCGUUAAGCCUCGUCCCUUAAUAGGGAUGAGCCUCUCAAUCGGGCUCGCCUGUGGCCUAAUUGAGAGCCGAUAGCAGGCUGGCCACGCGUAAUUAGCCUUUGCAAGCGUGACAAGAGCAUAAAAGGCUGCGCUUUGCAAAUCCUGCCUGGUAGGAGUUGCAGGGCUAAGCAUAAAAUACGAGGCUAAGCAUGUAGCGACUCUUAUCUGAUUUCUUGAGGACGGCGGUUCGAUUCCGCCCACCUCCACCA